UAGACUGGCAAUCACUGGGCAAG
rnacentral:piRNA from 1 species